rnacentral:rRNA from 1 species
UAAUGCAUCGGAACGUGUCCUGUAGCGGGGGAUAACCUAGCGAAAGCUAGGCUAAUACCGCAUACGCCCUAAGGGGGAAAGUGGGGGAUCGUAAGACCUCACACUAUAGGAGCGGCCGAUGCCGGAUUAGCUAGUUGGUGGGGUAAAGGCUUACCAAGGCAACGAUCCGUAGCUGGUCUGAGAGGAUGAUCAGCCACACUGGGACUGAGACACGGCCCAGACUCC